GACGAACGCUGGCGGCGUGCCUAAUACAUGCAAGUAGAACGCUGAAGGAGGAGCUUGCUUCUCUGGAUGAGUUGCGAACGGGUGAGUAACGCGUAGGUAACCUGCCUGGUAGCGGGGGAUAACUAUUGGAAACGAUAGCUAAUACCGCAUAAGAGUAGAUGUUGCAUGACAUUUGCUUAAAAGGUGCAAUUGCAUCACUACCAGAUGGACCUGCGUUGUAUUAGCUAGUUGGUGGGGUAACGGCUCACCAAGGCGACGAUACAUAGCCGACCUGAGAGGGUGAUCGGCCAUACUGGGACUGAGACACGGCCCAGACUCCUACGGGAGGCAGCAGUAGGGAAUCUUCGGCAAUGGACGGAAGUCUGACCGAGCAACGCCGCGUGAGUGAAGAAGGUUUUCGGAUCGUAAAGCUCGGUUGUAAGAGAAGAACGAGUGUGAGAGUGGAAAGUUCACACUGUGACGGUAGCUUACCAGAAAGGGACGGCUAACUACGUG
rnacentral:rRNA from 1 species